rnacentral:lncRNA from 1 species
CCUGCAGCAGGUUAAGAAUAUGGUUCGAUCAAGUAAAAACCCUCUUGUUCAAAUUGCAAAGAGGCUGAAAGAGAUGCAGCAUGCUCAAAGGAUUUAUACACCAAAUACAGAACAUAAAAUAUAUACCAAGGCACCAAACAAUGCCUAUUUGCUGAAUAAUGAAACUUGCUGCCAAGUUUUGGACACUGUCAGUGACACCGAUGAAAAUGGAGACAGCAUGUUCCUUUGCAGGGUAUAUUCGAGAAGUAUACCUCUCUUUGAGAAACCUUGUAACUCCAAAUUAAUUGGAGCAUUUAAGGUUCUUACUAGGAAUUCAUCCAUGAAGGUGAUUCCAGCAAGAAAACUAAACCGCACAGGUAUGAUGAUCGAGACAGAAAGCGCAAAUACUUUUCUGUCAAUACUACAUGACUUAUGACAAAUGACAUCUGAAAAGCGGUAUGCAGUGGUAGGCUUCAAUGAUCGUAGUGUGGGUAUCAUCUCCACAACCUGGAUUGAAAAAUCUGAUGAUGAAAAAAUAUUGUGCUGGUGGCCACAGAGCAGGCAUACAGUUAGUGCCCAAAAGCACGAAAAGCCAGACACGACAAAUUGGCGAGUGCAUGUCGUAUCAACAAUACUAUCAACA